CCUAGCCUGGGCAACAAGAGCAAAACUCCGUCUUAAACAAAGAAACAAAACCAAAUGCAUCAUCUCUUUCAAUUAGUUAUUCCUACUGACUUCCCAGAAGGCACCAGUAUUUUUGCAGCCAUCUUAAAAUUAUGUUUGACUUUCUCCAACUCUGCUAAACCUUGUAGAUUCUAGAGCUGUAGUGUUUCUCAUCAUUUGUCUCUCCCUUUUCAUUUCAUUGCCUCAUUGCUCUUUGUUUAACUAGGCUGUUACUACUAGUAGAGGCUUUGAGAAAAUCAAUUCCAUAAAAGAUGGGAGCAAGACCCAGAAUGCAAAGGAUUAAUGAGAAGCACUGGAAUCACUGAGAGUAGACAAGCUCUUCAAGAAGAGAGUAGACAAGCCACUUCAAGAAACAGGGUCUUGCUAUGUUGCCUGGGCUGGGAUGCAGUGGCUCUUCACAGGCACAAUCAGUGCACUGUAGCCUUGAACUCCUGGGCUCAAGAGAUCCUCCUGACUCAGCCUCUUGAGUAGCUGGAUUACAGAUAUGUACUGCUGCGUUUGGCUUAAGAGUCUUGCUCUAUCGCCCAGGCUGGAGUGCAGUGGCAUACUCUUGGCUCACUGCAACCUCCACCUUCCAGGUUCAAGCAAUUCUGCCUCAGCCUCCCUUGUAAACCCAAGUAGCUGCCACCAUGCCUAAUUUUUGUAUUUUUGUAGAGGUGGGGUUUCACUAUGUUGCCCACGUCAGUCUCUAAUUCCUGGCCUUAAGUAAUCCACCCUCCCAAAGUGCUGGGAUUACAGGCAUGAACCACCAUGCCCAGUCGGUAUGGCAUUAUUUAUAUAAAUCAAGAACAACUAAAUACUAAAUAUUGUUUAUGGCAGUAAAUGUAUAAAAACAAAGACUAGAAGGAUAUACAUCUACUUCAUAGUACCAAUGCUUCUGGGGAGGAACGGAAAAUGGACUGGGAAAGGGAACAAAGGGGACUGACUUCACGCCCUCCUCCUUCUCCUUUGCAUCAGCUAUUCUGUCCAUCUGAAACAAUCUUCUGCCAGUACCAUCCAAUUUCCCUGCCUCUGGGGUGAGAAGAAGAAGAAUGGACAGAGAAAAGGAGAAGGGCAUAUUUAUGUAUUCCCUCUAUCAGAAUGUAAGUUCCAUGAGUGUAGGGAUGUGUCUUGUUUUGUUCACUGAUGUACCUCUAGCAAAUAAAACAGUAUCUAGCAUAUAGCCAAAGGAGCUAGCUCAAAGAAGGAUAAGUAUAUAAAAAUAAAGUGUCAAAAAUAUAGAAUUCCCUUUUCUGGCCGGGCACAGUGGCUCACAUGUGUAAUCCUAGCACUUUGGGAGGUUGAGGUGGGCGGAUCACAAGGUCAGGAGUUCAAGACCAGCUUGGUCAAAAUGGUGAAAUCCCGUCUUUACUAAAAAUAUAAAAAAAUAGCUGGGUGUGGUAGCACAUGCCUGUAAUCCCAGCUACUCAGGAGCCUGAGGCAGGAGAAUCGUUGGAACCCAGGAGAUGGAGGUUGCAGUAAGGUGAGAUCCCGCCACUGCACUCCUGCCUGGGUGACAGAGCAAGACUCCAUCUCAAAAAAAAAGUAUUUCCUUUUUAUUACACUCAAAUUUAGAGUUAAGACAGAUUUAAGAUUUCAUAAUUCACUUAUAU